UGGGCAGUAGCUCAGUGGUGGAGCUCCCGCUUCGUAUGCGGGAAGACCUAUGUUGGAUUCCCGGCUGCUCAC
rnacentral:tRNA from 1 species